UACGGGGGGGGCAAGCGUUGUUCGGAUUUACUGGGCGUAAAGGGCGCGUAGGCGGCCACCGCAAGUCGACUGUGAAAUCUCCGGGCUUAACCCGGAAAGGUCAGCUGAUACUGCGGGGCUAGAGUGCAGAAGGGGCAACUGGAAUUCUCGGUGUAGCGGUGAAAUGCGUAGAUAUCGAGAGGAACACCUGCGGCGAAGGCGGGUUGCUGGGCUGACACUGACGCUGAGGCGCGAAAGCUAGGGGAGCGAACGGG
rnacentral:rRNA from 1 species